rnacentral:rRNA from 1 species
GACGAACGCUGGCGGCGUGCUUAACACAUGCAAGUCGAACGGAAAGGCCCUGCUUUUGUGGGGUGCUCGAGUGGCGAACGGGUGAGUAACACGUGAGUAACCUGCCCUUGACUUUGGGAUAACUUCAGGAAACUGGGGCUAAUACCUGCUAGGAGCUCCUGCUGCAUGGUGGGGGUUGGACAGUUUCGGCGGAUGGGGAUGGACUGGCGGCUUAUCAGCUUGUUGGGGGGGUGGUGGCUUACCAAGGCUUGGGCGGGUAGCCGGCCUGAGAGGGUGACCGGCCACAUUGGGACUGAGAUACGGCCCAGACUCCGACGGGAGGCAGCAGUGGGGAAUAUUGCACAAGGGGCGGAAGCCGUAUGCAGCAAGUCCGCGGGCGGGAUGACGGCCUUCGGUUUGUAAACCGCUUUCGCCUGUGACGAAGCGUGAGUGACGGUAAUGGGUAAAGAAGCACCGGCUAACUACGUG